rnacentral:rRNA from 1 species
UCAGGAUGAACGCUGGCGGCGUGCCUAAUACAUGCAAGUCGAGCGAACCACUUUGGUGGUGAGCGGCGAACGGGUGAGUAACACGUAGGUGAUCUGCCCAUCAGACGGGGACAACGAUUGGAAACGAUCGCUAAUACCGGAUAGGACGAAAGUUUAAAGGUGCUUCUGGCACCGCUGAUGGAUGAGCCUGCGGCGCAUUAGCUAGUUGGUAGGGUAAAGGCCUACCAAGGCGACGAUGCGUAGCCGACCUGAGAGGGUGAACGGCCACACUGGGACUGAGACACGGCCCAGACUCCUACGGGAGGCAGCAGUAGGGAAUCUUCGGCAAUGGGCGAAAGCCUGACCGAGCAACGCCGCGUGAAUGAUGAAGGCCUUCGGGUUGUAAAAUUCUGUUAUAAGGGAAGAACGACUUUAGUAGGAAAUGGCUAGAGUGUGACGGUACCUUAUGAGAAAGCCACGGCUAACUACGUGCCAGCAGCCGCGGUAAUACGUAGGUGGCGAGCGUUAUCCGGAAUUAUUGGGCGUAAAGAGCGCGCAGGUGGUUGAUUAAGUCUGAUGUGAAAGCCCACGGCUUAACCGUGGAGGGUCAUUGGAAACUGGUCGACUUGAGUGCAGAAGA